rnacentral:misc_RNA from 1 species
GUGAGUCAUCGAAUCUUUGAACGCAUAUUGCGCUCUUUGGUAUUCCGAAGAGCAUGCUUGUUUGAGUAUCAGUAAACACCUCAACCUCCUCUUGAUUUUUCAAAAGGAGGGUGGACUUGAGCUAUCCCAACAACCUUCACAGGUAGGCGGGCGGCUUGAAAUGCAGGUGCAGCUGGACUUUUAUCUGAGCUAAAAGCAUAUCUAUUUAGUCCUCGUCAAACAGGAUUAUUACUAUUGCUGCAGCUAACAUAAAGGAUAAUUGUCCUCAUUGCUGACUGAUGCAGGAUUUUACGACACUUUAUGUGUUGUUCAACUCGAUCUCAAAUCAAGUAAGACUACCCGCUGAACUUAAGCAUAUCAAUAAGCGGAGGA